GAUGAACGCUGGCGGCGUGCCUAAUACAUGCAAGUCGAGCGAACGGACGAGAAGCUUGCUUCUCUGAUGUUAGCGGCGGACGGGUGAGUAACACGUGGAUAACCUACCUAUAAGACUGGGAUAACUUCGGGAAACCGGAGCUAAUACCGGAUAAUAUUUUGAACCGCAUGGUUCAAAAGUGAAAGACGGUCUUGCUGUCACUUAUAGAUGGAUCCGCGCUGCAUUAGCUAGUUGGUAAGGUAACGGCUUACCAAGGCAACGAUGCAUAGCCGACCUGAGAGGGUGAUCGGCCACACUGGAACUGAGACACGGUCCAGACUCCUACGGGAGGCAGCAGUAGGGAAUCUUCCGCAAUGGGCGAAAGCCUGACGGAGCAACGCCGCGUGAGUGAUGAAGGUCUUCGGAUCGUAAAACUCUGUUAUUAGGGAAGAACAUAUGUGUAAGUAACUGUGCACAUCUUGACGGUACCUAAUCAGAAAGCCACGGCUAACUACGUGCCAGCAGCCGCGGUAAUACGUAGGUGGCAAGCGUUAUCCGGAAUUAUUGGGCGUAAAGCGCGCGUAGGCGGUUUUUUAAGUCUGAUGUGAAAGCCCACGGCUCAACCGUGGAGGGUCAUUGGAAACUGGAAAACUUGAGUGCAGAAGAGGAAAGUGGAAUUCCAUGUGUAGCGGUGAAAUGCGCAGAGAUAUGGAGGAACACCAGUGGCGAAGGCGACUUUCUGGUCUGUAACUGACGCUGAUGUGCGAAAGCGUGGGGAUCAAACAGGAUUAGAUACCCUGGUAGUCCACGCCGUAAACGAUGAGUGCUAAGUGUUAGGGGGUUUCCGCCCCUUAGUGCUGCAGCUAACGCAUUAAGCACUCCGCCUGGGGAGUACGACCGCAAGGUUGAAACUCAAAGGAAUUGACGGGGACCCGCACAAGCGGUGGAGCAUGUGGUUUAAUUCGAAGCAACGCGAAGAACCUUACCAAAUCUUGACAUCCUUUGACGACUCUAGAGAUAGAGCUUUCCCCUUCGGGGGACAAAGUGACAGGUGGUGCAUGGUUGUCGUCAGCUCGUGUCGUGAGAUGUUGGGUUAAGUCCCGCAACGAGCGCAACCCUUAAGCUUAGUUGCCAUCAUUAAGUUGGGCACUCUAAGUUGACUGCCGGUGACAAACCGGAGGAAGGUGGGGAUGACGUCAAAUCAUCAUGCCCCUUAUGAUUUGGGCUACACACGUGCUGCAAUGGACAAUACAAAGGGCAGCGAAACCGUGAGGUCAAGCAAAUCCCAUAAAGUUGUUCUCAGUUCGGAUUGUAGUCUGCAACUCGACUACAUGAAGCUGGAAUCGCUAGUAAUCGUAGAUCAGCAUGCUACGGUGAAUACGUUCCCGGGUCU
rnacentral:rRNA from 1 species